AGCGAACGCUGGCGGCAGGCCUAACACAUGCAAGUCGAACGAACUCUUCGGAGUUAGUGGCGGACAGGUGAGUAACACGUGGGAACGUGCCUUUAGGUUCGGAAUAACUCAGGGAAACUUGUGCUAAUACCGAAUGUGCCCUUCGGGGGAAAGAUUUAUCGCCUUUAGAGCGGCCCGCGUCUGAUUAGCUAGUUGGUGAGGUAAAGGCUCACCAAGGCGACGAUCAGUAGCUGGUCUGAGAGGAUGAUCAGCCACAUUGGGACUGAGACACGGCCCAAACUCCUACGGGAGGCAGCAGUGGGGAAUCUUGCGCAAUGGGCGAAAGCCUGACGCAGCCAUGCCGCGUGAAUGAUGAAGGUCUUAGGAUUGUAAAAUUCUUUCACCGGGGACGACAAUGACGGUACCCGGAGAAGAAGCCCCGGCUAACUUCGUG
rnacentral:rRNA from 1 species